rnacentral:rRNA from 1 species
UACAGAGGGUGCAAGCGUUAAUCGGAGUUACUGGGCGUAAAGGGCGCGUAGGCGGUUAAGUGAGUGUGAUGUGAAAGCCCUGGGCUUAACCUAGGAAGUGCAUCGCAAACGACUUAACUGGAGUAUAUGAGAGGGUGGUGGAAUUUCCGGUGUAGCGGUGAAAUGCGUAGAGAUCCGGAGGAACACCGACGGCGUAGGCAGCGCCCUGGCUGUGAAUAAAGCUGACACUGAGGCACGAAAGCUGGGGGAGCAAACAGG